GGGGGCACAGACACCAAGGCCAGGCUUUGUGACACUCUUUUUUUUUUUUUUUUUUUUCUGUUUGCCCUGGACACUGGCUGGAGGAAUGAGGCCUGGAAGCAGGAAGCAAAAGAUCAGCUCGGAGAGAAGGAAGAGUGCUGCCCCAGACACAGCGGGUGCCCCAUCUUCUUCAGGCAUCAGCAAUGAAAGACCUCGGCUGACUUCAGUUUUCCAGAUGAAAACAUCUGUACACCUGCAGGACACUGAAAACCUGCAGCUGCUAGGACAGAGGCUUCUUAGGACUCACCUGCCUUGGAGGACCAACACUGCCCAGCAUCUGCCAUCUGUGUGUUUGGAAAGGAGCUAAUGGGACUCUGUCACCACCUGCUGGCAUGGAGUGGAACUGCAACCCAGCUAUACUAGGCACUGCAAACUGUUCAAAGAAUGGAGGAGUGGUGGGUGGGUAUGGAAAAUUCUGUAGAAAUAAACAUGUUUACUCCUAACA
rnacentral:lncRNA from 1 species